GAUCGGGUAGCUUUGUAAACUUAUACAAUGUAGAGCGUUGGAUCCUGCUAGUGUACUUAAAAACAAGGAUAGAACGUGCAAUAUUGUCUGUUAGCUUUGAAAACUUAAUUUUGCUUUUCAAUGAUAUGGCAUUCCAUAAUCUCUUACUACAAUCCAUUUACAAAUAAACAGAACAAGACUAUAUUAGUAAAAAAGUAAAUUCCCAAAUACUUUCUUUGCAUUAUUUCUGUUGAAGUGUUACAGUACUGGAAAUUUAGCAUCACUGUCCACCAUUACCUAUGCUUAUAUACAAUUGCUGUUUUUUUUUUUUUGUACAGGUCGUGCGUCGGCUGCAUCAAAAAGUUCUGAUAAAGGAAGGCCACCAAAGGGAAGAGGGCGCGGAAGAGCAUCAAAAAAAUAGCUUUUAUGAUCUUGUAUUUACAUUUUUGUUUUGUAUUGUCUAGAGAAAUAUAGUUGCUGUUUCCAUUCUGUAUUUUUGGAAUAAACAUUUUAUUAAAAAUAAAAAAAAACUUUAUAUUUUUAGAAUCACAAACCAGUGAUUCACCAGUAGUAAGAUAGGAUUGCAAGCUACACAUAAUUAAAAAUAAAACACAUUGUGGGAGGAAAAACAGAUUUACAGGGACAUUAGGCACCAAAACAACUUCAGAUUAAGUUACCCACUUGCUCUCUUUUCAGUUAUUUAUCAGACUGCAAAACAGGCUUGUGUAACCCGUAGAUCUGUCUAGUUGUCCUGCUAAUAUCAGAGAACCAGCAAUUUCUUACACCGCAUGCUGAC